ACAGCAGCAGCCGCGGGAAUACGAAGGGUGCAAGCGUUAAUCGGAAUUACUGGGCGUAAAGCGUGCGUAGGCGGUUUGUUAAGUCUGUUGUGAAAUCCCCGGGCUCAACCUGGGAAUGGCAAUGGAUACUGGCAAGCUAGAGUGUGUCAGAGGAUGGUGGAAUUCCCGGUGUAGCGGUGAAAUGCGUAGAGAUCGGGAGGAACAUCAGCGGCGAAGGCGGCCAUCUGGGACAACACUGACGCUGAGGCACGAAAGCGUGGGGAGCAAACAGGAUUAGAUACCCGCGUAGUCCCUGUCUCUUAUAA
rnacentral:rRNA from 1 species